rnacentral:rRNA from 1 species
CAUGCAGUCGACGAUGAAGCCUUUCGGGGUGGAUUAGUGGCGAACGGGUAGAGUAACACGUGGGCAAUCUGCCCUUCACUCUGGGACAAGCCCUGGAAACGGGGUCUAAUACCGGAUAACACCUUCCACCGCAUGGUGGGGGGUUGAAAGCUCCGGCGGUGAAGGAUGAGCCCGCGGCCUAUCAGCUUGUUGGUGGGGUGAUGGCCUACCAAGGCGACGACGGGUAGCCGGCCUGAGAGGGCGACCGGCCACACUGGGACAGAGACACGGCCCAGACUCCUACGGGAGGCAGCAGUGGGGAAUAUUGCACAAUGGGCGAAAGCCUGAUGCAGCGACGCCGCGUGAGGGAUGACGGCCUUCGGGUUGUAAACCUCUUUCAGCAGGGAAGAAGCGAAAGUGACGGUACCUGCAGAAGAAGCGCCGGCUAACUACGUGCCAGCAGCCGCGGUAAUACGUAGGGCGCAAGCGUUGUCCGGAAUUAUUGGGCGUAAAGAGCUCGUAGGCGGCUUGUCGCGUCGGAUGUGAAAGCCCGGGGCUUAACCCCGGGUCUGCAUUCGAUACGGGCAGGCUAGAGUGUGGUAGGGGAGAUCGGAAUUCCUGGUGUAGCGGUGAAAUGCGCAGAUAUCAGGAGGAACACCGGUGGCGAAGGCGGAUCUCUGGGCCAUUACUGACGCUGAGGAGCGAAAGCGUGGGGAGCGAACAGGAUUAGAUACCCUGGUAGUCCACGCCGUAAACGUUGGGAACUAGGUGUUGGCGACAUUCCACGUCGUCGGUGCCGCAGCUAACGCAUUAAGUUCCCCGCCUGGGGAGUACGGCCGCAAGGCUAAAACUCAAAGGAAUUUGACGGGGGCCC